rnacentral:lncRNA from 1 species
UAGCUAACUUAAGGCGAUGGCCUCAUGGAGCUAAUAAGCGGACAGCUUUAUUCUUAUUUUUAUAAGAAUGCCAUAUUUGUAUGGCGAUAACUAACAUAUAUAUAUAUAUAUAUAUGAUUAUGUAUUAAUUAGGGUAUAAAAAUUCUGCUGUCACAGGGAUUCAAAUAAAUUGAAUUAUUCUCAAAAAAAAAUAUGUCAUUUAGAGAUAAAAGUCCUCAUGCAAUUCAUCAAAUCCUAAUAUACCAUAUCGUAGAAUUUAUUUUAAUACUUUCUAUUUCAGUUCCAAAUUUCACUUCUGCACGUGUUUCAUGAGGUGCGUUUAAUUUGUGUGUGUGUGUGAGCGUGUGUAAAAAGGGUAGCUGGAUAUAUAUCAGAUUGGGUCAGCUGGGACAGCCUUCAAGUGAUGACUGUACAGCCACAGGUCCUCUUUCAGGAUUCCAGAAAAAUUAUUUAUCACACCCCUGACCAGACACGUAUUGUGCCUCAACGAUUAAGGUACCCUAUAGAAUAUCAAGUGGAGGAUCUUAGAGUGGCCAUUACCCUACAUUAACAGGAGUGAAUGCUGCAAGCUUUGCAGACCCAAGGGAGCAUGGAUACUCAAAGACUCCCUGGAAGUUGGAUCACUGAACAAUCACCAGGAAAUUUGCCGUCCUUGCAUCCAUUUCAACCACUACCUGCUGCAAGCAUGGGAAACCCUGUUCUCCAACUAGACCCGGAAGGGCCCUUAGAAUCCAAAAGCAGCCCAAGGGAUAAAUCCUUUGUUCCCCAUCUUUUAGGUCACACAAAACUGGUCUAACGGAGAUAAGCCAUCCUUACUGACCCUGGACUAUUUAUUUGUUGCUGCCCAAAUGACCAUAAUGGAUUCUUGCCUCCCAGAUGUGAAGAGUUACAUUUGUCUUUGGCAUUAAAGUUUGAUGAGCUGUUCAUAAGUUUAAGGUCUUUGUGGAUGCAAAACCAUUGGUCACUAUGACCGGACAUAAACUUAACUACUUAUAAAUAUAUAUAUAUAUAUAGACACACACAUAGUGUAUAAAGACAUGACUUUCAGACCUUUCUGCACUAUGCAUUAUUUACUUUGUGUUCCCUGAUAAUGGCUGUUGAUAGCGCAUUACCUCCUGUUUCAGCACAAACCAUAUCAGAGAUCUACAGUCAAUUGGCUAAGUUACUGCUAUGAGAGUUUAUAAAUUUGGUGUUUCAUAUAACAUUUCAAUUUAUUUUUUCUACUUCUUGAGUUCCCCCUUGUUUGAUCUGGAGGAAAGGGGACUCAACCUUACAUUUUUAUUUCUCUUCUGUUUUGAAAUCUCAUUCUCUUUAUUUUACAUUCUAACCAUGAAUUCACCCACUGCAUGCCCCCAUAACCAUUAUUUCUAAAUGUAGUGUACAUUGAAAUAAAUCCAAGGCAAUCUGACUGCAUGCAACUAAAGUUAUGUCCAAGUUAAGAGCUUUGUUUCCUUCAGUGAUUGUUUUGGAGGAAAAGCAUGAACAUUAUAAAAUACUCAUUCUCCCCCUCCCCAAACAAAACAAAAUCUCACAUUGCAAGAAACCCUUUAUUUUUUUAAAUCCUAUGCCUCUCCCUAUUAUCAGAAUCUCUAAUUAAUUGAGUCAUUAUUCUGGUUAAAUACUUGACGAUGUUAUUAACUGUUCCUUCUAAAAUUUAAGAUUUUGUGCCUAUCUUAUAAACAAUUUCUGUCUCUUUAACAUCCUGAGUUCAAAUCGUAGCAAGGUCAACUUUGCCUUUCAUUCUCCUGGGCUCGAUGAAAUACAGCACCUGUCAAGUACUGGGGUCAAUGUAAUUGACUAACUCCUUCUCCUUAAAAUUUGCUGACCUUCUAACAUUUGAAAGAAUUAUUAUUAAAAGGAUGAUGGAUUGGCAGAAUUAUUAGAGUGUCAGAUAAAAUUCUUUCCAGUCUUUAGUUACAGUCUGAGUUCAGACCCCACAUGUUGUCAAUUUUGCCAUUCAUCCUUUUGCUGAUUGACAAAAUAAAAUACCAGCGAAGGGCAUAAAGGGUGGGUGAGGAGUAAUCACCUAACCCAUGAAAACUACAGGCUUUGUGUUUAUACUAAAAACAAUUAUCAUUAAAAACUGUUGAGAUAGUGAAUUCUUGGGAACUCAUUGAAUUCAUUGGUGAAUUCAUUAAACUAAAUGCCCCCAAUUUCACCUUUCCAGGAGUCAAUAAAUAUGUACCAGAUAUGUUUUGAGGUCAUGCUAAAAUUGCCUAUUUAUCUUCAUAUUUGUCUUUGAGGUGAGUGCUACAGAGUUGAAAGGUCCAAACAAGUCUGUGGCCUAAUUUGUUUCUCAUUGAAACCAAUUCCCUUUACUUACACUGAUAAUGUUCUUGAGAAAAGCACGGACAUUGUGAAAUUUUAAUUUGGCCUUUGUGCCUGGUGCUGUGAACUUAUAACCUUUUAACCAUUUCAGACUGAUUUCAGUCAAUACAAACUAAUUAUGACAAAUCAAUAAAAGUGUUGGACAUUUUA